GAUGAACGCUGGCGGCGUGCCUAAUACAUGCAAGUCGAGCGAACAGACGAGGAGCUUGCUCCUCUGACGUAGCGGCGGACGGGUGAGUAACACGUGGAUAACCUACCUAUAAGACUGGGAUAACUUCGGGAAACCGGAGCUAAUACCGGAUAAUAUAUUGAACCGCAUGGUUCAAUAGUGAAAGACGGUUUUGCUGUCACUUAUAGAUGGAUCCGCGCCGCAUUAGCUAGUUGGUAAGGUAACGGCUUACCAAGGCAACGAUGCGUAGCCGACCUGAGAGGGUGAUCGGCCACACUGGAACUGAGACACGGUCCAGACUCCUACGGGAGGCAGCAGUAGGGAAUCUUCCGCAAUGGGCGAAAGCCUGACGGAGCAACGCCGCGUGAGUGAUGAAGGUCUUCGGAUCUUAAAACUCUGUUAUUAGGGAAGAACAAAUGUGUAAGUAACUAUGCACGUCUUGACGGUACCUAAUCAGAAAGCCACGGCUAACUACGUG
rnacentral:rRNA from 1 species